UUAAAUUUGAAGCAGGAAGUAGUAAUUACUAGUCAUAACAAAUAAAUUUAGGUGUUCUGCUGCACUCACUCACAGUUUUGAUUUCCCAGAGAUUUCUAGCAAGUAUGAUGCAGAAGUCUCCAGACAACAACAGCAGAGCAGUAAAUUCUGUCUCAUAUCCUUUGAAACCAUAAUGGACAAGAGUAGAAUUCCACUGUGCCAGUCCCCUUGUUGAUUCAGUCUGCUUCCUUCUAUUAUUUAACAGGAAACCCCAGGACAAUCAACACAUGGAGAGCAAAUGCUCCUCUCCUUCCCCUCUCAUUUUUUACUUUUUCUCAUCACAGAAUGAACAGGAGAACAAAGUGGAAGGCACCAUGCCAGCUUUAAACAUUCUGAUACUUUUAUGGAUGUGUGACUGUGUUCUUCUUCAAGGUCUAUUUAAAUCAGUGACUCCUACAGAAACAUCCCAGGAUGCAAAGACGGAAUUCUUAUCUGCACCUUCCCCUACAGAAGAGAAAUCGGCAGCACUAUCGGUAGCAGCAUCUGGUGUUAUCAGCUUCAUUGUCAUUUUGGUGGUGAUUGUGAUCAUCCUGGUCUGUGUGGUCAGCCUAAGAUUCAGGUGCCGUCACUGCAAAGAUGCAGAAGCAGAUAAACAGAAACCUCAACACCCAAUAGUAACUUACAGCUGCUCUGAUGCUGAAAAUGCAGCUGAUAUGAAGAAUGUCUUAUUGGUCUCCAUGAAGGACUUAAACACAAGCACUAGCGAAGAUGGUAUGAAACCAAUGGUCAGCUGUGAAGAAUGAGAAAACACUGUAAUACUG
rnacentral:lncRNA from 1 species